rnacentral:rRNA from 1 species
GAUGAACGCUGGCGGCGUGCCUAAUACAUGCAAGUCGAGCGAACAGAUAAGGAGCUUGCUCCUUUGACGUUAGCGGCGGACGGGUGAGUAACACGUGGGUAACCUACCUAUAAGACUGGGAUAACUUCGGGAAACCGGAGCUAAUACCGGAUAACAUUUGGAACCGCAUGGUUCUAAAGUGAAAGAUGGUUUUGCUAUCACUUAUAGAUGGACCCGCGCCGUAUUAGCUAGUUGGUAAGGUAACGGCUUACCAAGGCGACGAUACGUAGCCGACCUGAGAGGGUGAUAGGCCACACUGGAACUGAGACACGGUCCAGACUCCUACGGGAGGCAGCAGUAGGGAAUCUUCCGCAAUGGGCGAAAGCCUGACGGAGCAACGCCGCGUGAGUGAUGAAGGGUUUCGGCUCGUAAAACUCUGUUAUUAGGGAAGAACAAAUGUGUAAGUAACUGUGCACGUCCUGACGGUACCUAAUCAGAAAGCCACGGCUAACUACGUG